AGAACCUUAAGGAAAAGCGGGGGGCUGGGCGGGGGGAUUCUCCCACUUCCCCAACAUUUCCUUGCAGACACUUUCAGCUCCCUUGACCCUCCCGCAUUGCCGUAAUGGACUGGCAAGGCUCCCCAUGUGUGUGUGCUCCGACUGCCUUCUUUUUACCACCCUCCUCACCCCUUACCUUCUGACUUUUAACUCAUGCCUUGCUUCUUACUUAACUGAGAAUGUAGAAGCCAUAAUCUUCCCACUAACAAACUUAUAAGUCCACUUGAAGCUUUGCCUGUCUUCACUUCCUUCACAUUAAGAGGCGAGAAGUGUCUCCACUUCUAUCAAAGGCCACCUCUUCUUGUGCUCUGGAUGCCAUCUCCUUACUUUCUUAAGGACUUGCUGUUUCAGCAAGUUUUAUUACCUCUGUCCUGCACGAUCCAUCUAUCCUACUCUAUAGGAUUGUUCCCAUUAGCUUGUAGAUAUUCAUUGGCAUGGCCCAUCAAAAACCAAUGACAAUCUUCCUUGAUUUCACAUCCUCCUUCAGCUCAUACCCCAAUUUCUCUUCUUUCUUUUCCAGAACAUCUUCUUGAACCCAUUAUCUAUCCUUGGUCCUACUCACUCUUUAGUCCCCACCAUUCUAGCUUCAGUCUCCAGCCACACAUCUGGAAACACUCAAGUCAGUAGAAGAUUUUCCUUCCUAAUCUUAUAUAAUCUGUCCACAACUUUUGACACAACUGACUACUUCUUCCUUCUUGAAACACUAUCCUGUAGAUGUCCUCCAAUAUGAAAUUGUCUGAUGCUUUUCUCAUGAUUAGAUUGGAGUUAUGGUUUUUUGAGAAGAAUACCGUGGAGGUGAAGUGCUCUUCUAAUCACUUCAUAUCAGGUGGUACACGGUAGCCACAGGUGAUGUUCACAUUGAUUAUUUAGUUAAGGUAGUUUUUUCUGGGUUUCUCCAUUGUAAAUUUACUGUUUUUCUCUUUCCAUACUUUGUUCUUUGGAAGUGAGUCACUCAUUCUAGUGAAAGCUCAACCCAUGAAGGGAUGGUAGUAAUUAAGUUCCACCAAGGAAGGUGUUUUUUAUCCCAGAGUUCAGAUGAGGAAAUAGGAGCUCAGAGAUAUUAGAUGAAGUUCCUAAGGCCACACUAGCAUAUAUGAUGUUGGCUAACUAUCUAAGUAACUUAUAGCCAUCCAACUUGUAUUUAUACAGACAGCCUUGCAUGGGGGAUUAGCUUGGUUGAAAAGGUUUAAAAAGGAAAACCUCCAGGUAAGCGCAAAUAUAUACUGUCAGCAAGACACUUAACCAUUUCUGCGGGCCAAUGUGUAGGACAAUAAAAAUAAAAAAGGAUGCCAAACAUUUGCCAUUGUCAUCCAAACCACCACACCACUGGUUUGGAGAAGAGAAGGUUUUAGAGAAAUGGAUUCCAACCUGUGUUCUGUGAUUUGGAUCUGGCUUGCAGAUGUGUUUCACUUGGCCUCCAUGGUGUUUAAAAUUAUUUUCUGACUUGGUUGUCAACUUUCAAAAACUGAGAAUUUCACGUACAAAUCCAGAUUUCAUGCUUCACUUGGAAAUUUGAGAGAUCUGGCAGCCUUGGAUUUUCAUUCAUCUAUGACAAUGGUCAUUUGGUGCCAGUCACUGCUGGUCCUCUUGGAUGAGCUGCUCUCUGAUUCCCUGGAGUCCCGCAUAGCCUGCCUAGUACAACUGUUGGCUAUUGCAGCUGUUUGAGCCCAACCCUCUUACUAAGGGGGAGGAAACCUCUGUCUCCAGUUGGUUGAGGAGUUACCAAGUUGGAAGGGGAAUUUGCCCCUGUUCUUUAGAGCACCUGAGAGUGGAACCAGUAUCAAUGACUUAAGUUAUAGGAGACAGCCUCCAGAAAAUGUAAGGCAGAAUUGUCUACAGAUAUUUGCAGUCUGUCAAUGCAACAAGUUGCUUCAAAUAUGGUGACCUACCCUGAAGCAUUUAAGCAGAGGGAAAAAGAUCUUGAAUCAGGCCAUCAAAGACAGGAUUUGUGCACUGGAGAAAGCUCGCAGCAGAUACAUUGGAAGAAGAACUCCCAACUCAAAUAUUGCGCAACUCCUGUUUCCUGAAGAAUUAAUAAACCUGUUGGAAUGGUAAUUCUACCCAAAAGAAAUAAUUAUACCUUAUAACUGAUUAUGUGGGGAAGACCACAUUACAGCUCCCAGUUUAAAAACAUGUGGGAAGCAAAGACCACAGUGAACUGACUUAAGUAUGUAGGCUACAGGGAGCGGUGAGAAGUGAGGUAGGGAGAUGUAGGCAGGAAAUUGGGCAGAGGGAGAAAGUAACAGGACCACCAGCAGCUUGUGUUUUGUUUUAGGUGGAGAGAAGGGGUGGAGAGCAGCGAUGGAAUGAUCCAGCUAAAGGAGCAGCGUGCUUAUUACUAGGCAACCUGCGUGCCUAGAUAUUAUUUUCUGACUGAACAGCCUUGGUUUUCUUGAAACAAAAGGAAAGCCAGGUGCUUAAACACUCAGGAGCUGUCUCGUUGUGACCAUCAGAGAUUGUUCCAGCCUUGCCCUGAGUUUCAGGAUCAGCUUUUGGCUGCUUUACUGGUGCUGCCCACAUUUAUGUUGUUACAGAAAGAAAUGACUCUUUAUGGAGACCCCCACCCCGGCUGAAACAUUUCUGCCACUGUUCCCAAGAAGGGCACAUCCCUUUCAUGCUCAGUGUGGACAGUCACUGAUUUUAUCGAGACCACCUCCUCCUGUAGAUGAUAGAGAAGGCACUGGCUUUUACUUGGCUGCUAAUGAGCAAUGGCUCUGUGGCCAGCGCAAGUGUGGUCAGCCACCACAGACCUAUUGUGACGAUGCAAACACUUUCAUCCUCCAGACCUUGGACGUUGCCUUCAAGUUUUGCGGAGAAGAGGCCGGCUCUUGGGCCAGCACUUUGGCCAGCACUUUGUGAGCAGGAGACUUCCGUGUCUAAGACUCUUAAAGACUUGCUGAGCUAGCAUGGCUGAGAAGUAUUAUUACUGAAAGACAUAGCUACUGAGAGUUCUGGACGGUCAGCCUAUUCUCUCCUUAACAGCAAAGUUGACUCGGGAAACCAGUUUAAGUCCCCAAAAAAUUCUUUGGUGCAUAUAGAAUCAGAUUAAUGAGAUUGAGAGGUUUUUUAGAAUUAUUUUUUCCUUUUUAAAAUUACACAGCAAUAAAAUUUCAUUGCAGAAAGAUUAGAAAACCUGAUCUGCAGGAGCCACACACACCACUUCGAGAGAACCGUUGUCAAUAUUUUGGUGUGUAGCCUCAUAUACUUUUUAAUGCAUCCUUAUUGAGACUUGCAGACUCUAGGAUGUGAGGAUAAUUCAUUCUUUUAGAAACUUAGGAUCCU